rnacentral:rRNA from 1 species
UACGAAGGGGGCUAGCGUUGCUCGGAAUCACUGGGCGUAAAGGGCGCGUAGGCGGCCUGCUAAGUCGGAUGUGAAAUCCCUCGGCUCAACCGGGGAACUGCAUCCGAUACUGGCGGGCUUGAAUCCGGGAGAGGGAUGUGGAAUUCCAGGUGUAGCGGUGAAAUGCGUAGAUAUCUGGAGGAACACCGGUGGCGAAGGCGGCAUCCUGGACCGGUAUUGACGCUGAGGCGCGAAAGCUAGGGGAGCAAACGGG